GGGCUUGCCCCCCGUUAGGACACCCUAUAAACCUUUUUGUAAUAGCAGUUAGCGUCUGA
rnacentral:rRNA from 1 species